AACGAACGCUGGCGGCAGGCUUAACACAUGCAAGUCGAACGCCCCGCAAGGGGAGUGGCAGACGGGUGAGUAACGCGUGGGAAUCUACCCAUCCCUACGGAACAACUCCGGGAAACUGGAGCUAAUACCGUAUACGCCCUUUGGGGGAAAGAUUUAUCGGGGAUGGAUGAGCCCGCGUUGGAUUAGCUAGUUGGUGGGGUAAAGGCCUACCAAGGCGACGAUCCAUAGCUGGUCUGAGAGGAUGAUCAGCCACAUUGGGACUGAGACACGGCCCAAACUCCUACGGGAGGCAGCAGUGGGGAAUAUUGGACAAUGGGCGCAAGCCUGAUCCAGCCAUGCCGCGUGAGUGAUGAAGGCCUUAGGGUUGUAAAGCUCUUUCACCGAUGAAGAUAAUGACGGUAGUCGGAGAAGAAGCCCCGGCUAACUUCGUGCCAGCCGCCGCAGUAAGAC
rnacentral:rRNA from 1 species